GGAGGAGUCGCCUAGUGGUCCAUGGCGCACGCCUGGAAAGCGUGUGUGCGAAAGCACUCGCGGGUCCGAAUCCCGCCUCCUCCG
rnacentral:tRNA from 1 species